rnacentral:lncRNA from 1 species
CCGACUUUUCGGAAUAUUAAAAACUAAUUUCACGACAUAAAUAAUAUCAUUACUUAAAUCAAAAUCCACAAAUAAUAUAUAAGUCAAAGCAGCGGUCAAACCCAAUAAUCAGAAGUCAUGAACUUAGAGACGCAGCUCCAUAAAUCCAAAACCAAUAUCUAAUAAACUCAUCAAAUUAUUCUAAAUAAACAAUAAGUCUUUAUUCACUAAUGCAAAUAAUCACGAAGCAUAGAAUCAAAAAGUCCUCAUUCUUAUUCCCAAAAUUCUUCCACGUGAUAGAACCUGAAAUAUUAGAAAAACGGAUGAGCUACACAGCUCAGCAAGUAACAAUUUGACUCACAGUUAAUUUCGAAAUCAGUGGGCGUUUUUAUGAAACAUUGUUGCUCAAAACAAUUAUAACUUUAAAACACUUGUAAAAACAAAUCCAACCCACAGUUUAUAUUUUAAAAGCAAACAUAACAAAAAACAGAAACAAAAAUCUUAUAAAUACCACAGUCUUGCUCUACGGCCACACUUUCCCAGUGACCAAGAUCUUAUUCUUAUUAUUUUGCCACACUUACCCAGUGACCGGGAUCUAAAGUUCAAUAAUCACGCGCCCUUAAUAGGUAUCUGAAGUUGCACACUUGUGCGCCUACUAAGGGUAUCUAAGGCUAGUUCCGGAACUAUAGCGUAGACUACGAACGGGUUCGAAACGUAGAGACUGGGUCUUCAAAGAUUCUCAUGUCUUAUAUCUUAUAAACUUCGAAACAAAAUUCUUAUAUCUUAUAACAAAAAUCUGAAAUUUGCGAAAUCAAAAUAUCCUUUCGAAAAUAAAAGUAAGUCAAAAAGUACUUAUCUCAAAGUCGACACUUAAAAUCCGAAAUUAAUAACACGAACAAAGCCUAUACAUUUAAUUAAUAAACAAAACAUAAUUAACAUGUAGCUUAAACAAUCAAGAGCAAGGCACAUAACAAGUCUUAACAAAUUUCAAACUUUAACAACUAAUAACAAUUAACACAAUUUAAUUACCGAAUAAGACAAAUAACAAUGCAUGCUGUUACAAAUCUCAAUAUUAACCAAAGAUAGCUUCUGAAUAUGAGAAAAUAGUCAACUGGAGAAUCAAAGUACAUUCAACAAGGAUUCCAAAAUGACAAGAUUCAUGGUAAACGGACAGAUAACGAAUUAGUUAUGAAUUUUAGAAGUUCAAGUAACACAACAGAAUUUUACUCAGGACCAGUUUACAUUCAAAGCAGAUUUUCACGAAGCAAACAAACUGAUAUCAAUUAGACUAUAACUAAACACUUAAAGAUCAUUCUCAGAGGUUUCAUAAUUGAUAAAGAUCACAAUUUUACGGCAAAUAACGAGGGAGAUAUGAAUUUUUAAACACGGAACAACUCAGCAGAAAAGUAUAAACAGCCCUGAAUCUUUGUAAAUCAGUUUAGACAAUUAAAUCAAUUUAAACAACAAAUAGGUAUGACUGUUAACGAAAUAUUAUAUCUCAAGCUUUCCAGAUUGGUAUCAUGAGUAAAUGUUCGACAUACGAUCAAUUUAUAGCGAAUGUUUGAACAUGGGAAGAAAGUUUCACGACUAAGAACGAAAGGGUAACAACUAAUGUGAUUUUAAGCAUAGAUGCACUGCUAAUUUCGAAAUACGUCCUGAGACAAAGGUUGUAGGUAUCGAAGAGAGCUUUUCAGAAUGUCCAGAAUCAACAAAAUCCGAUUAAUUUUCAAUUUACUACGAUUUUUACAAUCCAACUGAUUCACAGAAAAUACUAUAUACGAAUUUCAGCAUAAACAAUUAAGCAAACAAGAUAUAUUUACAUCAAAUACACAUGACAAGGAGCGAUAAAUCAAUAACUCAAGUCAACAUAUACGUGUUAGAAUCAAAGAGGAAAAGAGAGCAUACCCGUCCACGUAAAUUGUUGUAUGACUUAUUUGGAUUCUAAAGAGAUUAUUAUAUAGCACAUAAAACCUAAUCGUAAAUAGGAAGUUCCAAACUUGGGUCACAAUUUUCUCCACCUCAUAAACCAAUUUACAAAUAUAAGGUCUUCUCAAGAAGAUUUCGAUUUUCGAUAAUAUUUCUACGCUUCUUUCCAUGAAUAAAGAAUUCUCUCUAUUUUAUUAUUCAAAUAACUAACACAAAAUAAAUUGUAGAAGCUUCCAAUUAAUGCUAAUAUCUAAUUAUAUAAAUACAAACAAUUUAAAUCUAAUAUCUAACUCAUAAUAACAAUACUAAUUAAAUAAAAAUAUUUAAAUAAAUAAAUAAAAUCACAGGAUUUUACAUUCUACCUUCCUUAGAAAGAAUUUGGUCCCCAAAUUCUCCCAAAUCUAUUCUCCAAAACCCAUCUAAAAGUCAAGACACACAAUUAAAAACUCACUAACCACUGACAAGUCAAACUUGAACCUCGGUACUCGGAUCGCACCCUGGGGAAUGAGCUAGUCAUAUACCUAACACACUCCGAAGGACAACCUCGCUCUGAUACCAACUGUAACACCCCGACUUUUCGGAAUAUUAAAAACUAAUUUCACGACAUAAAUAAUAUCAUUACUUAAAUCAAAAUCCACAAAUAAUAUAUAAGUCAAAGCAGCGGUCAAACCCAAUAAUCAGAAGUCAUGAACUUAGAGACGCAGCUCCAUAAAUCCAAAACCAAUAUCUAAUAAACUCAUCAAAUUAUUCUAAAUAAACAAUAAGUCUUUAUUCACUAAUGCAAAUAAUCACGAAGCAUAGAAUCAAAAAGUCCUCAUUCUUAUUCCCAAAAUUCUUCCACGUGAUAGAACCUGAAAUAUUAGAAAAACGGAUGAGCUACACAGCUCAGCAAGUAACAAUUUGACUCACAGUUAAUUUCGAAAUCAGUGGGCGUUUUUAUGAAACAUUGUUGCUCAAAACAAUUAUAACUUUAAAACACUUGUAAAAACAAAUCCAACCCACAGUUUAUAUUUUAAAAGCAAACAUAACAAAAAACAGAAACAAAAAUCUUAUAAAUACCACAGUCUUGCUCUACGGCCACACUUUCCCAGUGACCACGAUCUUAUUCUUAUUAUUUUGCCACACUUACCCAGUGACCGAGAUCUAAAGUUCAAUAAUCACGCGCACUUAAUAGGUAUCUGAAGUUGCACACUUGUGCGCCUACUAAGGGUAUCUAAGGCUAGUUCCGGAACUAUAGCGUAGACUACGAACGGGUUCGAAACGUAGAGACUGGGUCUUCAAAGAUUCUCAUGUCUUAUAUCUUAUAAACUUCGAAACAAAAUUCUUAUGUCUUAUAACAAAAAUCUGAAAUUUGCGAAAUCAAAAUAUCCUUUCGAAAAAGUAAGUCAAAAGGUACUUACCUCAAAGUAGACACUUAAAAUCCGAAAUUAAUAACACGAACAAAGCCUAUACAUUUAAUUAAUAAACAAAACAUAAUUAACAUGUAGCUUAAACAAUCAAGAGCAAGGCACAUAACAAGUCUUAACAAAUUUUAAACUUUAACAACUAAUAACAAUUAACACAAUUUAAUUACCGAAUAAGACAAAUAACAAUGCAUGCUGUUACAAAUCUCAAUAUUAAUCAAAGAUAGCUUCUGAAUAUUAGAAAAUAGUCAACUGGAGAAUCAAAGUACAUUCAACAAGGAUUCCAAAAUGACAAGAUUCAUGGUAAACGGACAGAUAACGAAUUAGUUAUGAAUUUUAGAAGUUCAAGUAACACAACAGAAUUUUACUCAGGACCAGUUUACAUUCAAAGCAGAUUUUCACGAAGCAAACAAACUGAUAUCAAUUAGACUAUAACUAUACACUUAAAGAUCAUUCUCAGAGGUUUCAUAAUUGAUAAAGAUCACAAUUUUACGGCAAAUAACGAGGGAGAUAUGAAUUUUUAAACACGGAACAACUCAGCAGAAAAGUAUAAACAGCCCUGAAUCUUUGUAAAUCAGUUUAGACAAUUAAAUCAAUUUAAACAACAAAUAGGUAUGACUGUUAACGAAAGAUUAUAUCUCAAGCUUUCCAGAUUGGUAUCAUGAGUAAAUGUUCGACAUACGAUCAAUUUAUAGCGAAUUUUUGAACAUGGGAAAAAAGUUUCACGACUAAGAAUUAAAGGGUAACAACUAAUGUGAUUUUAAGCAUAGAUGCACUGCUAAUUUCGAAAUACGUCCUGAGACAAAGGUUGUAGGUAUCGAAGAGAGCUUUUCAGAAUGUCCAAAAUCAACAAAAUCCGAUUAAUUUUCAACUUACUACGAUUUUUACAACCCAACUGAUUC